rnacentral:rRNA from 1 species
AUUGAACGCUGGCGGCAGGCCUAACACAUGCAAGUCGAACGAGUGGCGGACGGGUGAGUAAUGUCUGGGAAACUGCCUGAUGGAGGGGGAUAACUACUGGACACGGUAGCUAAUACCGCAUACCAUCGGAUGUGCCCAGAUGGGAUUAGCUAGUGGGUGGGGUAACGGCUCACCUAGGCGACGAUCCCUAGCUGGUCUGAGAGGCUGACCAGACACACGGGAAGUGAAACAUGGUCAAGAGUCCUACGGGAGGCAGCAGUGGGGAAUAUUGCACAAUGGGCGCAAGCUUGAUGCAGCCAUGCCGCGUGUAUGAAGAAGGCCUACGGGUUGUAAAGUACGUUCAGCGGGGAGUCGUUACCCGCAGAAGGAGCACCGGCUAACUCCGUGCCAGCAGCCGCGGUAAUUC